rnacentral:lncRNA from 1 species
GCGCCCGCCCCGAAGCGACUUUCGGUCCCCGACCCGCUCCGCCUGACCCCUAUGAUGAAGAGGGCGUCCACUGGAGAACAUCAUCCACUCGGGCAGUGCCCUCCUGGCCCCGGCCACCAGGGCAGCGUGGGAGCAGAUCCAGCGGAGCGAGGGUGGCACGGCACAGCUGCUCCGGCGCCUCGAGGGCUACUUCAGCAAUGUGGCACGCAACGUGCAGUGGACGUACCUGCAGCCCUUUGUCAUCGUCACCACCAACAUGAUUCUUGCUGUCGACAUCUUUGACAAGUUCAACUUCACGGGAGCCAGAGUCCCAUGGUUCGACGCCAUUCAUGAAGAAUUCCCCAGGGAGCUGGAGUCCUCCAUCUCCUUCCCAGCCAACUUCUUCAAACCACCUGAAGAAAAAGAAGGCCCCCUGGUAAGGCCAGCCAGCCGGAGGACCACCCCGCAGACCACACGCCCAGGGCCUGGCACCGAGGGGGAGGCCCCGAUCAGCAGGUGAAAGCGACACCCUGAUGACACUGGCUAGUUCACCUUCACUCUGGUCAUCGUUUACUGUACCCCGGGGCAG